rnacentral:rRNA from 1 species
CUCAGAUUGAACGCUGGCGGCAGGCUUAACACAUGCAAGUCGAGCGGUAGCACAGGGGAGCUUGCUCCCCGGGUGACGAGCGGCGGACGGGUGAGUAAUGUCUGGGAAACUGCCUGAUGGAGGGGGAUAACUACUGGAAACGGUAGCUAAUACCGCAUAACGUCGCAAGACCAAAGAGGGGGACCUUCGGGCCUCUUGCCAUCAGAUGUGCCCAGAUGGGAUUAGCUAGUAGGUGGGGUAAUGGCUCACCUAGGCGACGAUCCCUAGCUGGUCUGAGAGGAUGACCAGCCACACUGGAACUGAGACACGGUCCAGACUCCUACGGGAGGCAGCAGUGGGGAAUAUUGCACAAUGGGCGCAAGCCUGAUGCAGCCAUGCCGCGUGUGUGAAGAAGGCCUUCGGGUUGUAAAGCACUUUCAGCGAGGAGGAAGGUGGUGAGCUUAAUACGUUCAUCAAUUGACGUUACUCGCAGAAGAAGCACCGGCUAACUCCGUGCCAGCAGCCGCGGUAAUACGGAGGGUGCAAGCGUUAAUCGGAAUUACUGGGCGUAAAGCGCACGCAGGCGGUUUGUUAAGUCAGAUGUGAAAUCCCCGGGCUCAACCUGGGAACUGCAUUUGAAACUGGCAAGCUAGAGUCUCGUAGAGGGGGGUAGAAUUCCAGGUGUAGCGGUGAAAUGCGUAGAGAUCUGGAGGAAUACCGGUGGCGAAGGCGGCCCCCUG